rnacentral:rRNA from 1 species
AGCUCCAAUAGCGUAUAUUAAAGUUGUUGUGGUUAAAAAGCUCGUAGUUGGAUUUCGGCGGGUAGUGGUUGGUUUGAAUUGAUUCAACACUGACUUUUUUACCCGUGUGUUUUGCCAGAAUCUUACGGGUGAUCUUUACCGAUUGUCCGUUGGAACUGGCAGGUUUACUUUGAAAAAAUUAGAGUGCUCAAAGCAAGCUUACUGCUUGAAUAGUUGCGCAUGGAAUAAUAGAAUAGGAAGUCGUUUCUAUUUUGUUGGUUUUCGGAAAUCGACUUAAUGAUUAAUAGGGAUAGUCGGGGGCAUUCGUAUUCAAACGACAGAGGUGAAAUUCUUGGACCGUUUGAAGACGAACUAAGGCGAAAGCAUUUGCCAAGAAUGUUUUCA